UACAGGGGUGGCAAGCGUUGUUCGGAAUUACUGGGCGUAAAGGGCGCGUAGGCGGCCUUGUAAGUCCUGUGUGAAAUCCCCCGGCUCAACUGGGGAACUGCACAGGAGACUGCUUGGCUUGAGUUCGGGAGAGGGAAGCGGAAUUCCGGGUGUAGCGGUGAAAUGCGGUAGAUAUCCGGAGGAACACCGGUGGCGAAGGCGGCUUCCUGGACCGACACUGACGCUGAGGCGCGAAAGCCAGGGGAGCAAACGGG
rnacentral:rRNA from 1 species